UAACUGAAACCCUUCAUUUUGCAGCUGGGGCUCCCUGCCCCCUUAAGGGGGCAGGGAGCCAGUGAUUCCUGGGGGAGCCCUGGUCCCUCUCAGGGUGGCCUGUCCUGUGUGACCUCGGGGAGCCAGCAGCCCAGACUCAGUACCCUGCCAGGGAGGCUUUACUACCCAUCACCUGAUGUGAGGAUGACCACUAUGACUCCCUGAUGGGGGGCAGAGACUCAUAUAGGGUCAGAGAGGACAAUCUGCCCUCCGUGGAAGGUGGGUGACCUUGGAACCCUGCCUGUAGCUAGUUCCCCCUUCUGCAAUAUUGGGGCAGCUAUGCCCAAGUCUUGGUAGCUGAAAUAGAACAAGAUAGAAAAUGGCGGACUGGUGAGGAGCCCCUGUGGCACACACAGGUGACUCUUCAGGAGGGUCCUUCCUCCUGUGGACCCAUCGGAAAGCCCCCCAUCUCAGCAUUUUGGAGCUAAGAGGAAAACGGAUGAGAGGCUCAAACAGGAAGGCAGCAUUAGGCUCUCUCGGGGUGUUCCCUGGGUUUCCACAGGCUUCUUCAGGCUAUCUGUGUCCACGUGGAAGUAACCCUGGGCUGCAGGCCAAGUGUAGGGAGUUUCAUCUGGAUUCUGUUUUUUAUUUGUCAUAAAAAAUAUUUUGCAUUUGUGAGAUGCAAAAUGAAACAGGCAGAUCCUUGCCUGUUAGCUUUAAGGUAUUCUCAGGUACUGCACCCACUCCACAAAGCCUAUGGGUGAAACAGCAGAACCUCAAGUGUGACAGAGAUGAUUAAGGGCUGGCCAUGAAGGCAGAAGGCUAGUUAACUUGCCUCAGUUUUUUUUUUUUUCCUGCCUAAAAUCAUGGUGGGAAACUGGUUUGCAUUUCCUCAGAGGAGGCUGUUAUCCAGUAAAUGAAAACGUGGCUUUGCAAGGACAAAGGUGGACGAGGUUUCAGACUGCUGAGUUUAGGAAGGGUUAAUUUUCUUGGUCGUUGUUCUGGGGGUCUCUGAGCCUCAGGCAUUUCUCUGAAGAUGUGGGUGUAAUCAUAUUAUCUUUGUCACAGACUCAACCCUAAGCGUGUUCUGAGAAUCUGACAGCCUGUGACAGCUGCAGGGACCUCACUAGCUGGGUCUGAAGCUUAGCCUGCAAGCAGGACUCGGGGUACCUUGGAAAGAAAGGGACUUCUGAGGAGGAGGAGUUCAGGGUGCCAUGCACUACCUGUGGGUUAGCAAUGGCGAUGCAGGACCGUGAGGGUUAGACGCCGGAGGUACAUGGUAAUAGUACGUGCUGCUUGAGAGUCAAACUGUCCAGGCACGCAGCAAAGCCCCGGCUCUUUGCCAGCAAGCAGGCUCCACUGUUGACACACUCGGGCUGCUGUGUCUGCAUUUCUCCAGAGGCCCAUGUCCCCUCUGCCAACAUCUAUCUCAAGUCACAUUCCCUUGGACUUCUCAUUCCAUACAGCUAAUCCCCUAGAACACGGGCCAGCGCAUUAGCUUUCUGGGCCUCUUAAGGACCGAAAAGGAAAAUGUUCCCCCAUGGGUACAUUGCAAACACUGAGGGCGGGAGACCACGGUGGUGAAAUCAUCGCCUGAGGCUCACACCUGCCGGCUACAUGUCACUGACAAAGCUGCACAGGGAGGGCAGCUUUAAAAAAAAAGAAAAAGAAAAGAAAAAAAGGAAGAUAAACCUUGAGUCCUGUGUGUACAGAACGGGCUUUGCACACCUAUAACUGACUUGUAAUUUGUCAGCUAAAAUGCUUGUUGGAUUUGUUUUUUGUUUGUGAAAGCCAAAAAAAAAAAAAAAACUCUAAACAAACAAAUAAAAAAAAUAACCUACAUAAAAACUACCACACAAAAUAUUUAUUGUAGUUAUACAGGAAACGUACUGCUAAUUAAUAUGGUGGUGGAAGCACUUAGCCUCUCCCUCUAUCCCCUCCUCAAAUUAGGGGCUCCUGCAUUUUCCUGUCCAUUUGCAUAUAUCUAAUAAGCACACCACCAGAGUCUAUGACUUUGUUUCUAUUGUAUGGGGGCGAUUUCAGAGCUAGUGUUUUUCCUUGUGCAUUUUGUAGCAGCUUGUUUUUCUUCUCCCCAGAAUGUACUUGGCAAUAAUAAAGAUCCAUAGCCUUCCUUAUGACAACCAGCACCUCAGAUUCCCAAACGGUGUACACACUGGAGUUGAUUUAACCAUCUCACUGCCUCCCUGAAAUCUGGGGUCCUUUAUCUUGGCAGGUAAACCCUGUCUGUGUUUCCAGAGACUGACUUCUGAGACCUUCCCUGGUCAGAGGGCUGUGUCACAGGCUGUGUGGUGCUGAUCUCUGUCCAAAGUACUUCCUGGCACUUUCAAGGGGCGUGUGGGGUUCUCAGAGAUGAGAGGAUGAUGAGGGGACAAGAAUUUGCUCAGGAUCGGCUAGUAAGCAGGACCCGGGGCUCCAACCCAGGGCUGAUCAUUCUCAGACGAUUUUGCCCUGUCCUCAGCAUCUAGACCUAUUGCCUAGCGCAGAAUGGGAGGGAGGAUGUCUGGUGCCUAGUCUCAUCCACACCGAGGAAUGUCCGCGUGUCCACAGCAGUCUGCACGGUGCCCGCAUGGAGGCCCUAAUGUGAAUGGAGACUAGCCUGCUGGGUGAGACCUUGGCAGUGACCACUGUGGGCAAUGAGCCAUGGGCCAACAAUUCUAUGUGAGCCUGUCUCUAAUAUUGAAGAUUUAUAUAUCUUAAUGGGCAAGAACCAAAAAGAUUCCAUGAUGUACCGCUGAUGGUGCCUGUCUGACCCUGAGACACUGUGGGCCAGGAAUCAAGGGACUCAUUUUGUGCUUGACUUCACCAAGUGGAUACACCCCCUCCAACUGAAUCAUCCUGGAAUGCCAAAGGUCUAGGUUUUUACCUCUGUGGGUAAGGAAAGAAGAGAUUUAUAGAUGUUAUCUUGUUCUAGUCAUGAUGACCACCUCCGUGCAUCCAAACUCAGAGCAUGAAGCCCCAGGAGCCCUGAUUUAAUUAUUUAAUACGGAAUCAUUGUCCUGAGUAAGGAGCAUAGUUGAGAAUAAAGAAUGAGUGCGGCUGCUAUGGCUUCAUGAUUACCUUCUGGGAAGACCUUGCCUGCUUACCUCUGCAAUAGGAGGGAAGACACAAUUGUGCAUCCCUCAAAAGCAGUGGCUCGGUCUGCUUUAAACAAUGGGCCACAUUAAUAAUCUCUACACACACUCUCGGUGUUUACCUGAAGACCCAAAACCUGUGAUGAUGAUUGACACCGUGUUUCCUGGCUGGGAGGUCCGUGGUUGCCCUGUCCCCAUGUGUUGAGGAUCAAGGGAACUGAUACGAGUUACCCUUCUAUCUGGAUCACGAUGUCUACGGCUCGCCUAGGGUCUUUGGAGCACAGUGAUCAUUGCUCAUCCCUCAGAAGGAAUGGCUUCAGUCUGCUUUAAACACUGGGUCACGCCCAUAAUCCCUACACUUAAUCUCAGUGCUUAUAUGAAGACCCAAAUCCUGUGUGAGUAAUAUUCAAAAUUAUUGUCUUGUUUUGUUCAACGAUGCUCUAUGUUAUUAUAGAGUAUAGCAUGUAUCUUAGCAAGGGGUUUGGUUAUUCCAAAGAGCAAAAUAUAAUCAGAGGUACAUUUAUUGUUUUGAAUCUAUGUGUUAAAACAACAAACAUACACACGUUACUAGAGAAGAGGAAGGUUAAUAUGGACCGAUGAUGACCAAAUCUGGGUUGGCAAUAUAAGUCACGGACGAUGACUACAAUUCUGGUGUCUGAGGUUCACAUCACCACACAUCCUAUGUUCCCUUCUUAGCUAGGAGAUACAUGUUAGGCAUGUGAGCACAUGCUGUCAUUUAGAAUCAGACAGUUUCAUGCAUUUUCUUAGUAGAUCAAUGAAACAUGAUAUAAAUAUUCACACAAAUAAAUGAUAAUAAAAAUUUCCAGCAUUGAUUAAGUAGUAAGUAAAUAUUUUGCCACUAGUGAUACUACUAGUAAUGCAGAAAUUAUGGAAAUCUGUUAAGAAAUAAUUGCAUAAAGAUGUAUAUAAGCUUUAUCCAAGUUCACAAAUGAAGUAUAAUUAAUGGAUAUAACCCCAGUGGGGUUCAAGAUCUUAAUUUUAAAUCUCACUUGAUCUCUUAAGACACCAUCAUAACAAUGAGAAUCUUAAAUAACAAAUAUUGAAAGGAGAAAUGUAGAAAUACCUUGUUAGAGCCAGGCAGUGGUGGUGCACGCCUUUAAUCCCAGCACUUGGGAGGCGGAGCUACAGCGGAUCUCUGUGAGUUCAAGGCCACCCUGGUCUACAGAUUGAGAUCCAGGACAGGCACCAAAAACUACACAGAGAAACCCUGUCUGAGGAAAGGAAAAAAAGAAAUAAUUUGUAAAAUAUCAAUCUUUUUAUUAUCUUCCUUCCUUUGAACUUCCUGAAUGGAUGAUGACUGACAUAUUACUUCCUGGCUGAGAGGUCCACGGUUCCCCUGUCCACAUGUAUAAGGGAACUGAUUGCUCAUCUCUCAGAAGGAAUGGCUUCAGUCUGCUUUAAACACUGGUCCACUCUCUUCACUUCCUCUUGGUGUUUACAUGAAGAACCAAAAUCGGAUGAUGAUUGACACCGCGUUUCCUGGCUGGGAGGUCCGUGGUUGCCCUGUCCCCAUGUGUUGAGGAUCAAGGGAACUGAUGUAAGUGGAGUCAAGAUUUUUGUUUUGCUUUGGGUGGCCUUGGUCACACAUUUAGGUUGUCUUGGUAAAGGCAUGCAUA